rnacentral:rRNA from 1 species
GAUGAACGCUAGCGGCAGGCCUAAUACAUGCAAGUCGAGGGGCAGCGGGAAUAGCAAUAUUUGCCGGCGACCGGCGCACGGGUGCGUAACACGUAUACAAUCUGCCCAUAUCAGGGGGAUAGCCCGGAGAAAUCCGGAUUAAUACCCCAUAAUAGUCGAGGAGGCAUCUUCUUGAUUUGAAAGCUACGGCGGAUAUGGAUGAGUAUGCGUCUGAUUAGUUAGUUGGUGAGGUAACGGCUCACCAAGACCACGAUCAGUAGGGGAUCUGAGAGGAUUAACCCCCACACGGAUACUGAGACACGGAUCCGACUCCUACGGGAGGCAGCAGUAAGGAAUAUUGGACAAUGCCCGCAAGGGUGAUCCAGCCAUGCCGCGUGCAGGAAGAAGGCCCUAUGGGUCGUAAACUGCUUUUACACCGGAGAAAACCCCCUUACGUGUAAGGGGCUGAUAGUAUGGUGAGAAUAAGCAAUCGGCUAACUUCGUGCCAGCAGCCGCGGUAAU